CAACAAGAACGGCGAAAGAAGGGAUCCGCAGCAACAACGUUGCGCCGCCGCUCCGCCCGUGCGCUCCCCACCCCCGAUCCGCCCCGAGCCAACCAGGCCUCCAAACGCCGCCGUCGAGCUCCUCUGCCGGACACCAUGGCCAUGGACUAAAGCUCCGCCGGACCUUCCCUCGCGAGUGCCGGCCCUCCUCCCGACUAAAUCGGCGACGGCGACGACCGGUGAUGAACACAUGCCUACCCCCUUCUUAAUUCUCCCGGGCAGUCUGUGAUGCAGAUGCCGCCGCUGCCAUUCUUCCGCACAGCCGAGGACGCGAAAGUCGUUGUUGUCUGCAACUCAGCCGCCUCCAAUCUGUUGCCCUGCGAAGUUGAGGAGGGUUUGUUGUCCGGACAUCGCAUCCUCCUGCUUGUCCUCUACCACAGGGUCGUUGCCAUCUUCAGUCACCACGGCCACCUCUGCCUUGUCCUCUACCACGGGUUCAGUAGGGGCAUACCACCGCAUGUCCUCUUCACAUGAUAGGUACAGACUUGGCUAAGCAAUUUUAUGUCAAACUGCACAUAAAUAUGAUUAAGUCCUUGUUGUAUUUUUACUGGUAGGGAGAGCAGGGGAAAAGUCUUGUGGAUACAUAUAUGAAUGCCCGCCAGAAGAAGAGAAAGGUGUUUGGCUGCAAAUCAGUUUUAUGUCAAACUGCACAUAAAUAUGAUCAAGUACUUGUUGUCUUUUUACUGGCAGGGAGAGCAGGAGAAAGUGUUGUGGAUACAUAUAUGAAUGCCCGCCAGAAGAAGAGAGAGGUGUUUGGCUGCAAGUAAUUGUGUUCGUAGGCUGUCCAUAUCACCGGCACUAAGGGGAAAUGUUCGACUGCCACGUUCCUGUCUAAUAUCAUGAGGGAGCAAGCAUAAACUGUGGGCUGCUAUUCCAGGUAUUCCACCAUAUCACCAAGCUCCGUGUAUCAUUUAAUCCAUUUGGUAGUAACUAUUAGACGACAUGAUCAUGGAAAUUGUAUGGUGCUGAUGUUUAUGCAGUCCACACCUUUUAACAAUCCGAGAGCGCAUCACCUGUUUCAGCUGCAUCUUUGAGGGAUCUUUUUGAUCUGGCAAAAGGAAGCUAUUGAUGAAUCAAUCGAAUAUUUUCAAAGAUAUUUUUAGGUUGCAAGGUUGGUAUUUUGCUUUAAUAAAAUGCUGAUGAUGCGUACUCAGAUAUUUUUUUGUAUGUCCCCGAAUGGGAGCCUAUACAAUACCAAUAAACGAUAAGCAUAACAAGAAAAAUAGAAAGGUACUAUCGAAUGGGAGCCUAAUUUCUUGUUUCAGUAUUGUCUGCAGCUUUGUUUCAGGAAGAUUCAAUUCUGUAAUUUUUUUAUGUCGCAUUUGAAGGUGUCGGCAAGUAAGCGGCUCUACAUCUUGCCAAUUCCAUUUCUAAUAGGCAUGAACCCCCUGUGUUCUGGACAACUAAGGUUACAUGCAUGUGUUCAUAUCAUAAUCAUG